GAUAUAAUAGCUUAACAAAAGCAUCUCAUUGAAAAUGAGGAAGAUGGUUACUUUUGUGCCUUGUGUCA
rnacentral:tRNA from 1 species